rnacentral:rRNA from 1 species
GACGAACGCUGGCGGCGUGCCUAAUACAUGCAAGUCGAACGCAGUGGGGACGGGUGAGGAACACGUGGGUAACCUCCCAUCAAAGGGGAAAACACUUGGAAACAGGGGCAAAACCGAAACUGAGGGAGGGAACCGGGGGGCAUUAGUUAGUUGGUGAGGUAACGGCUCACAAAGGCAACGAUGCAUAGCCGGCCUGAGAGGGUGAUCGGCCACACUGGGACUGAGACACGGCCCAGACUCCUACGGGAGGCAGCAGUGGGGAAUUUUCGGCAAUGGACGAAAGUCUGCUCGAGCAACGCCGCGUGAGUGAAGAAGGUUUUCGGAUCGUAAAACUCUGUUGUUAGAGAAGCGGUAUCUACCCAGAAAGCCACGGCUAACUACGUGCCAGCAGCCGCGGUAAUAC